ACUCAACUUUUGCGUGGCGUUCCGCGACCAUCCUGAAUCAAUUCAGCGAGUGACUUGACGCCAGUCGCCAGUCCUACACCGCUCCCAGAUUUCCACGGGCCUGUCGCGAAUUAGGAAUUUAAUCGGAUUAUUUCGUUUAGUUUUGCAACUUCGCCAGUGAACGGAAAAGUCGGAGAGUAUAUAUAUAUGAACCUGUCGAAACCACCAAUAACUCCCGUCAGCCUCCGACAGGGCACUAUGUAACGUAGUUCUGAACACUUUGCUACUCGAUUGCAGAGCGUUAAUGCUACACCUUUUGAUUGUGAAGCAUGUAAUUUGUGACAGUGCUGAGUGUCAUGUCGGUUCUCAAGAGCGUGUGUAUUUUGUUUUUCGGGACUAUAGCACAGAUACCUGCAAAUUCUCCAAUGCCUGAAUUCGCCUCAAAGUUAAAAUGUAAUCGAGUGUGAAAUUGUGAAUUCAUUAAUCAAUUUAACUCUAACUUUGACCGUGCUCCCUAAUUGUCCAUCCGUAGUUGUUUGGUUGCCAUAAUUUCAGGCUGCCAUUAUCUCGGCAAUCGACACUAGCCAUGGACGCGCAAUACAAAUCUACAUCGGAGAGAAAACUUACGGUGGUAACCAAGAGGCCGAACACAGCUCUCUUCAAACGCGGGAACCGAUCACUUUGGCCAUCACGGUAGCCUCCUUGGUAAUGUCGAAUCUGCACAACAUAGAACCGGCUCUGACAGCCAUCCGGGAUGUCAUGCGUCUCCUGAACCCCUUGGCCACUGCCAGCACCCGCCUGGAGAACGGUGGUCAGAGACGCAACGACGGCACGAUCUUCUGGCAGGGGAGGCUCCUGGAGUUCAACACUGACGAAGGGGUCCACGUGUUCGUCAUCAGUCCGGAGAAAUCGCUGACAAUCGUCACGUCAGGAAAGAGAGUCCUCCUGAACGAUUAUCCUGUCUGUCAGAACACGGAUCACUUGGGCGAGCCGCAAUAUCGGAAAUUGAAACUGCAGGAUGAGAAGGAGGAAUCUACAGUUUACACGUCUUGGUGGUAUACGAACCUCGUGGUUGGGAACCCGAUGACGGACGAGGAGGUGACGCAAUUCAUUAAUCUCCAAAAAGAGGUGCAGAUUGAGAGGGAGAAGGCGGUCAAUGAUAUCACUGCCGUGGCUCGAGAAAGGAUCGCCAAGGCUGUUGGACUUGGAUUGAAGUUGGUAGACGUCCCGGCUCAAAUGACGAUGGAAGCGGUGCGAGGUGCGGUGGGAGGUGUGGUGGCGGCCCCUCGGAUGGCGGUCAGCGCGGUCGGCGCGCUGGGCAAGGGCGUGAACCAAGGGUGGAAUAGAGUCGUCACUUUCUCGAAAGACAGCCUCAGUCGCGAAUCCGGUGGGACCGACGGCUUGUCAGGCAUGAUCAACUCCAGACUCUGGGGGCCCAUGCCUGAGGGUCAACAGCCCCCGACGUCGCCUCUUCCUAGGACGGACAGUCAAAACUCGCCGACCGCCGAAGAGGUCAACGCCAUGAUACACGAGUCAAACAGCGGACGCAUGGAUGGGCUCAACAGAUACCUUUUCGGAUCCCCACCGAGAGGAGCUCCGCAGAAAGCCCCCAGCUCCGGGUUCAACAGAUGGCUUUUCGGAUCCCCGCCGAGAGAAGCUCUGCAGAAAGCCCCAGCUCCGGGUUCAAGUUAGGCGGCUUCGGCAAGAAGGGUUUCAACAACCCUUUCUCGCGCAAGGGUUCUAGCUCCGAAUGACUUUACUUCGUCUUUUCCAGCGGGCUGAUUGUUGAAAUUCAUAGACAAAACGAUAGACAAAGAGGACAUAAUGAGCAUGGAGUAAUCCUAUCGGUUGCUUUGGGUGGUUUCUAAAGACUAAGGGGGUAAAUGAUGGACUAACUGUAUGGUCUUUCGUGGGUUGCCGUUAGUUAGUCUAUUACCUACUCCUUUGUCCAUAUCAACCUCCCGCUUCCACCAAUAGGAUCUCUCGUCCCUCCGAAUCCUUUUUGUUCUCUUUGUCUAUAGCUUUGUCCAUCAAUUUCAACAAUCAGCCGUCAGGGUACCUAGCGACCUGGGAAACCGGGAAAUGCCAGGGAAUUUUAUUUUGCAAGCGAGUUUCCGAUUUUCGUGUCAGGGAAACUUCAGGGAAAUCGAAAAACACGAAUUCUCUGUUUGUUGAAAAUUGAUGAAAAAUCAAGUUUCAGAAAAAGGGAAUCGAUACUAAAAUCUCCACCAGAAUUUCCGCUGAUGUCUUUUAAAUUUUAAAAAAGAGGCAAACGUAUCUCGCAUAAGUUUAGGCUCCAUAUAUUUUGCUCUAUUUAUCACAUUAUAUCCCUAAAACAUGAAUAAAUUCUUACUUACAUCUAAUCAACCGCGUCGAAAAAUUGGGAAUAUUUUUCCUUUUUGCCAGGGAAAUUUCGGGGAAUUAUUUUUUCCGUCUGUCGGGCAACUUUGAAUUUUUCCCCGGUUUUUUGGCCGUUUUUGUCCGAGAAAUCAAGGAAAUGUCAGGGAAUUUUAUUUUUGAAAAUUGCUAGACAUUCUGUUCCCCAGACAAAGGAACGUAACUCCAUUCCAAGGUUGCAAAAUUGACUCAAACAAUUUGUUUGUUUACGAAUUUGUAACGGUACAAAUUUUUAUCAAAAGUUUGUAUGAUUUUUGCAUGAAAUUAGAUGAUAAAUCGAUGAAAUUUUCAGUUAGACAUGCCCAAGCUUCUACAGUUGAAAUUUCAAUUUUUGGGUGAUAAUGUGUGGCUACAUUGAAAUGAAGUUACGUUCUUUCAUGGGGGAAUGACGUCAUAUCACGAGAGUAAUUUUGAAGCACGUAGGGUUGUAAUCGAUGGCCAAAGUGCGAAAUCUCGUAUCUCUGUUUCCGACGUUACGGACUUCCCGUCAUUUUUUCAUUUUGAGUUUAUCUUCUUUCAGAGGAGACGCAAAAUCCGCUAUCUAGAUUCUUACUCAUUCAGGGCCGGAUUAAAGGGGUGGCCGUGGCCACAUGGACCGCGGCCCAUGGCGGCAAAAUGUAGGGGGCGGCAAAUUUUGCAAUCUUUUUUAAUGUAGGUAUCAAAAAAAGAAGAAAAAAUUGGAUUCAGAAAAUAAAUUACAAAUGAGAAAAGGCGAAAAAAUCUCUCAUUUCCUGUAAAAGUAAAAGUAUAGUAAUUUCUAAUUUUGUCGUCUUUUGGUGAUACAAGAGACAACACCUUUAAUUAGUCGAGUUAAGAGAGAAAUCAAACACGCAAUUUGACCUUGAGCGGAGUGGCUUAGAGAGCAAUGAUGACUAGGACUGAGAUGAAAAGGAGAAGCCCUCAGCGCGGCGGUCGGCAUGAAACGCAUAGCGCCUACAAGACUGCAUGAAUACUUCACGCAUUGCGUCAAACAGUGCGGUCAGCAGUGGUCGGCGGGAAACGCAUAGCGCCUACAAGACUACAUGAAUACUUCACGCAUUGCGCCAAACACAGUGCGGUCCGCGCAGCGGCGGAAGUUAAAAUUAUUAAACCGCAUUUAUGUAUGUUCUUUCAUAAUUUUUUCGUUCGUUUGUUAUAAAUGGAAGACCUUGUCCAAACAGGGAUGGGUUUACGGAACUUAACUUUCGCGUAUAGUUCCGUGAAGUUUUGUUAGUGUUGACAGGGCUUUCACAAAAAACGUGUCCAACACGAGUAAACGCGUCUAAUACUCCCCUCCCCCACCAGCACGUUCACUUAACGAAUGAGAAGGGGGCGGAAAAAUAUAGGCGGCCCAUGGGCGGCAAGUAGGUAAAUGCGGCCCUGUACUCAUUUUGAUUCAAUGCUGAAUCAAAGACAGCAGAUCCUGUGUCAAUCUCCAUGAAGUAGAUUACCUUUUUUGGCGCGGACUCAACGGCUACAUAACCUCUCCGGCGAAAGCGCGGAUAAAGAUCGCUCUAUUUUAAGCAUAAAGAGCAGAUUCUAUAUUCACGACCGAGGUUCUGUUUUCACAAUAGUAAUAUACUGUACGUGAAGAGAACAGGCAGAAUAAACCAGAGAGUACUACGGAUGGUCUCUUUUUUCCUCUGCCGAUUAUUUUCGGCGAGCGCUUACUGUUAAAUAAACGCCAGCCACAUGUAGGACAGGGGAGUGAUACCACUAUUAUGCCACGCGGGAACUCGGGUUGCCUACUUUGUAAAAUGAAGGUGAACAGGUAAACAGGCCUCCUCCAAGACCACCAAGAGCGUUGUAUUUUACACUAAAAUACGUUUUUAACUUUCUUACCUAUGCAAUGCAGAAAUACUUUAAAAAAUAAACUAAUUUUUUUUGGCUAAGCUUUACUCUGUUGCUAAGAUUUGAUUUUCCCGUUGCAUUAUUUUUUUGACUCGAUCUCUGAAUCGAAUCGAUUCUUCCUGACAGAUUUACAGGGUCUUCUAAGCCGCUGUCCACGUCUAAGCGUGAGUGAGAAUGACCAUUUCUGCCCAAUGCACCGUCCUGCGUGAGUCAGCUCGAAGGGAGGGGGGGGGGCGGACAUUCAUUCCGACGUAAGUUCAUGUGUGAUAAUAUUUGGCUCCGUGUUCCCGGUCAAAAAUAACUUUGACAUUUUAAUCGAAACAGAAUUGUGUCUAUCUUUGCAGCCAGCUUCGGACGCCGAGUCAAUCACUUUCGGACCCCCCCCCCCUUCGAGCUUUCACCGCCUCGCCCGCCCGGGCGUUCCGGUUCCGCUCGACGCGGCCCGAAAGUGCCAAACGGUGUUGCCAAAUUGAUGAGGAAAUUUUUUUUGUGCGUCGAGAUUUCGGGGAAUGAUAGCGAAAAAUGGCAACGAUGGUAUGAAUUCCUGACCUUGGACAAAAGUCUUUCAGUUGACGAGAUCAGCGCGGAGCAGCGUACGCUGUCACUCGGAUCACGUGUUCAGUUCGAGGUACGAUCGUGAACCCAGCCCUAAAGGUUACUCUGCCGUGCUAAGGAAGAACGCCGUAAGAACAUUCGAGAGUUGCCAAAUUUUCCCGAAUAAAACAUGUAUUUUUGUGGAAAGUUAUGAAUAUUUUUCCUCGAGAUUUUCAGAUAUUUUAGAUCAAAUCCUGAACAAAAUUGACUGAAAAUUUUGAGGAAAAACAUUCAAAAUUAUCUCAGUAAAUUCGGUCCUCCUUGAAGGAAAUAUGACAGCGUCCGAAGGCUCAUAUACGGCGUUUUUCCUUAGCACGGCAGUAUUCGUGACGUUAGUCUGUGGGUCUGUAAGAAAAGGGAAAUGCUAUCAAGUUUUUA
rnacentral:lncRNA from 1 species